rnacentral:tRNA from 1 species
GGUCCUGUAGUGUAGCGGUUAUCACAGCGGAUUCUGAUUAAUGGCUUUCCGUUAACCCAGGUUCGAGUCCUGGCAGGACCU